rnacentral:rRNA from 1 species
ACGAACGCUGGCGGCGUGCCUCAUCCAUGCCCGUCGAACGCUUCUUUCCUCCCGAGUGCUUGCACUCAAUUGGAAAGAGGAGUGGCGGACGGGUGAGUAACACGUGGGUAACCUACCCAUCAGAGGGGGAUAACACUUGGAAACAGGUGCUAAUACCGCAUAACAGUUUAUGCCGCAUGGCAUAAGAGUGAAAGGCGCUUUCGGGUGUCGUUGAUGGAUGGACCCGCGGUGCAUUAGCUAGUUGGUGAGGUAACGGCUCACCAAGGCCACGAUGCAUAGCCGACCUGAGAGGGUGAUCGGCCACACUGGGACUGAGACACGGCCCAGACUCCUACGGGAGGCAGCAGUAGGGAAUCUUCGGCAAUGGACGAAAGUCUGACCGAGCAACGCCGCGUGAGUGAAGAAGGUUUUCGGAUCGUAAAACUCUGUUGUUAGAGAAGAACAAGGACGUUAGUAACUGAACGUCCCCUGACGGUAUCUAACCAGAAAGCCACGGCUAACUACGUG